GGCGGUGCUAGGCGGGUCUAGGAAGCGCUAGGCGGGUCUGGGUGCCGGGGUGGGUCUGGUUCUUUUCUUUUGUUCUUUAAGCCUACUGCCUAGCGAUUUUUCAAACUCAUGCACUGCAAGGCAGGUCUGGGCGGCGCUGGGAGGGUCUGGGCGGCGCUGGGAGGGUCUGGUCGACGCUAGGCGGGUCUGGGCAGCGCUAGGCGGGUCUGGCCGGCUCUAGGCGGGUCUAGGCGGCGCUAGGCGAGUUUGGGUGCCAGGGUGGGUCUGGUUCUUUUCUUUUGUUCUUUAAGCCUACUGCCUAACGAUUUUUCAAACUCAUGCACUGCAGGGCAGGUCUAGGCGGCGCUAGGAGGGUCUGGGCGGUGCUAGGUGGUUCUGGAUGGCGCUGAGCGGUUCUGGGCGGCGCUAGGCGGGUCUAGGAGGUGCUAAGGGGGUCUGGGUGCCAGGGACGUGGGUUUGGUUUUUUUCUUUUGUUCUUUAAGCCUACUGCCUAGCGAUUUUUCAAACUCAUGCACUGCACAGCAGGUCUAGGCGGCGAUGGGAGGAUCUGGGCGGCGCUGGGAGGGUCUGGGCGGCGCUAGACGGGUCUGGCGGCGCUAGGCGGGUCUAGGCGGCGCUAGGCGGGUCUGGCGGCGCUAGGCGGGUCUAGGCGGCGCUAGGCAGGUCUGGGUGCCAGGGUUUGUCUGGUUCUUUAGGGUUUAGGGUCUGGGUGCCAGGGUCUGGUUAUUUUCUUUUGUUCUUUUAGCCUACUGCCUAGCGAUUUUUCAAACUUCAUCUAUCUUUGCUAAUUGUUCGCACAAGUCUCAUUUUUACAUCUAUCUUUGCAUCUAUCUCAAACUCCAUUAGUAAUCUGUCACAUUUUUUUCUAGGUACGUGUGCCAUUUUCUUCUUUGAAGCCAAUAUUUCGAGUAAUAACUGUAUCAGAUGCACCACCUUUUGACCCCAGCAAUAUUGUGUCAUUGCAGGCACAUUUCUGCAGCCACUUUCUUUUAGUCUAUUCCUUAACUUCAUUUUCUUCUAUGUUUAUUGAUGGGAUUCAAAAUUAUGGCAGAUCAUGUUCAGAAAGUUUGAAUUUGAUGGGAAACUAAAUCCUACUUUUGUGGAAGGGGCAUUUAAGCUCCCAUUAUCAAGCAUACGAGCGUAUCUAAAAGAGCCUAUUACUCCCAGGUUCGUACACCUAGGUUCUGCAGGAGUUACCCGACCUGACAGGCCUGGAUUUGAUCCAAGUAAACAACCUCCUGCUAUUCACUUAAACAAGGAAUUGGAUUUUAUACUGACAUGCAAGUUGAAGAUUUAGCUCUUUCGAUUUUGUACAUUGAUAAGUUUUGGAGAAGGGGGAGGACUUAAUACGGGAAAUGGAAUACCAUAUACAAUUGUGAGGCCUUGUGCAUUAACUGAGGAGCCUGCCGGAGCAGAUCUCAUUUUCUACCAGGGAGACAAUAUAAUGGGUCAGAUAUCAAGAGAGGAGGUUGCUCAGAUUUGUGUUGCUGUUGUAGUGCUUAAUGGAACUGCUUGAACUAUUGAAUAUCUUGCAGGUCAGGGAAAACUGUUAACCUCCCAAUUUGAUCUUAAAAGCAUACAAAAAAACUCCAAUACGCGUGCAAGUUGGUAAUUGAAAGGUUUCCUAUUUUAAUGUUCUUUCUAAGUCUGGUCAUGUUCCAUUUCCAUGUUGUGUUAUUUAAUAAAUUUGGGCCUUGCUGGAAAACCAGUAAUGUUUCAACUCUAUUGAUGCAAUAAACAGAAAACAAUUCGGCUUACGAAA